GCCCCGAAGACCGGCGUCGGCGUCGAAGCGCACGAGCGAUCGUGCGUGAGAGGGAACCCGGUGAGAAUCCGGGACUGUCCCGCAGCGGUAUGCAGGAACGACCGCCGUCAUCUGCACUGGGCCACCUGCCUGGGAAGCGACGGCCAGUAGGUCCGGAGUGUGAGCAACACCCGGGGUGCCUGUGAGUCCGAAGACCUGCCGGCUGUGUCGGAUGCGCC
rnacentral:ncRNA from 14 species